AGAGUUUGAUCAUGGCUCAGAUUGAACGCUGGCGGCAUGCCUUACACAUGCAAGUCGAACGCGAAAGUGGGGGCAACCCUGCGAGUAGAGUGGCGAACGGGUGAGUAACACAUCGGAACGUACCCAGGAGUGGGGGACAACCUCGAGAAAUCGAGGCUAAUACCGCAUACGUCCUGAGGGAGAAAGCGGGGGAUUCGCAAGGACCUCGCGCUCAUGGAGCGGCCGAUGUCGGAUUAGCUAGUUGGCGGGGUAAAAGCCCACCAAGGCUACGAUCCGUAGCUGGUUUGAGAGAACGACCAGCCACACUGGGACUGAGACACGGCCCAGACUCCUACGGGAGGCAGCAGUGGGGAAUUUUGGACAAUGGGGGCAACCCUGAUCCAGCCAUGCCGCGUGAGUGAAGAAGGCCUUCGGGUUGUAAAGCUCUUUCGGCCGGAACGAAAUCGCGUACGUGAAUAACGUGCGUGGAUGACGGUACUGGAAGAAGAAGCACCGGCUAACUACGUGCCAGCAGCCGCGGUAAUACGUAGGGUGCGAGCGUUAAUCGGAAUUACUGGGCGUAAAGCGUGCGCAGGCGGUUCUGCAAGUCAGAUGUGAAAUCCCCGGGCUUAACCUGGGAACUGCGUUUGAAACUACGGAGCUAGAGUACGGCAGAGGGGGGUGGAAUGCCCGUGUAGCAGUGAAAUGCGUAGAGAUGUGGCGGAACACCGAUGGCGAAGCAGCCCCCUGGGCUGAGAUUGACGCUCAGGCACGAAAGCGUGGGGAGCAAACAGGAUUAGAUACCCUAGUAGUCC
rnacentral:rRNA from 1 species